AUUGAACGCUGGCGGCAGGCCUAACACAUGCAAGUCGAGCGAGCGGCGGACGGGUGAGUAAUGCCUAGGAACUGCCUGGUAGUGGGGGAUAACGUCCGGAAACGGGCGCUAAUACCGCAUACGAUUGGAUUGCCCAGGUGGGAUUAGCUAGUUGGUGAGGUAAUGGCUCACCAAGGCGACGAUCCCUAGCUGGUCUGAGAGGAUGAUCAGCCACACUGGAACUGAGACACGGUCCAGACUCCUACGGGAGGCAGCAGUGGGGAAUAUUGCACAAUGGGGGAAACCCUGAUGCAGCCAUGCCGCGUGUGUGAAGAAGGCCUUCGGGUUGUAAAGCACUUUCAGCGAGGAGGCGUUACUCGCAGAAGAAGCACCGGCUAACUCCGUGCCAGCCGCCGCGGUAAUAC
rnacentral:rRNA from 1 species